rnacentral:misc_RNA from 1 species
CCAAUAGCGUAUAUUAAAGUUGUUGCAGUUAAAAAGCUCGUAGUUGAAUUUCGGGGUUAGCAGGUCGGUCGUGCCAUCGGUAUGAACUGGUCUCGCUGAUCCCUCCCUCUUGACGAACUGUGAUGCCAUUAAUUUGGUGUCGCAGGGAAUCAGGACUGUUACUUUGAAAAAAUUAGAGUGUUUAAAGCAGGCUCACGCUUGAAUACAUUAGCAUGGAAUAAUGAAAUAGGACGUUUGAUCCUAUUUUGUUGGCUUCUAGGAUUGACGUAAUGAUUAAUAGGGAUAGUUGGGGGCAUUAGUAUUCAAUUGUCCGAGGUGAAAUUCUUGGAUUUAUUGAAGACUAACUACUGCGAAAGCAUUUGCCAAGGAUGUUUUCAUUAAUCAAGAACGAAAGUUAGGGGAUCGAAGACGAUCAGAUACCGUCGUAGUCUUAACCAUAAACUAUGCCGACUAGGGAUCGGAUGAUGUUAAUUUUUUAAUGACUCAUUCGGCGCCUUACG